UCAAAACAGCGGACUUCGGUCUUUGCUGCACCCUUGUCUUUUGCGCACCGAAUUGUUUCCUCGGCGGGCUUGCCUGCCGGUUGGACAUUAUCAAAACCUUUUUGUAGUUGCAAUCAGCGUCAGAAAAAUCAUAAUUAUUA
rnacentral:misc_RNA from 1 species